UAGGGAAUCUUCGGCAAUGGACGAAAGUCUGACCGAGCAACGCCGCGUGAGUGAAGAAGGUUUUCGGAUCGUAAAACUCUGUUGUUAGAGAAGAACAAGGACGUUAGUAACUGAACGUCCCCUGACGGUAUCUAACCAGAAAGCCACGGCUAACUACGUGCCAGCAGCCGCGGUAAUACGUAGGUGGCAAGCGUUGGCCGGAUUUAUUGGGCGUAAAGCGAGCGCAGGCGGUUUCUUAAGUCUGAUGUGAAAGCCCCCGGCUCAACCGGGGAGGGUCAUUAGAAACUGGGAGACUUGAGUGCAGAAGAGGAGAGUGGAAUUCCAUGUGUAGCGGUGAAAUGCAUGGAUAUAUGGAGGAACACCAGUGGCGAAGGCGGCUCUCUGGUCUGUAACUGACGCUGAGGCUCGAAAGCGUGGGGAGCAAACAGG
rnacentral:rRNA from 1 species